GAUGAACGCUAGCGGCAGGCUUAAUACAUGCAAGUCGAGGGGCAGCAGGUUUGUAGCAAUACAGAUGCUGGCGACCGGCAAACGGGUGCGGAACACGUACAGAACCUUCCUUUAAGUGGGGGAUAGCCCAGGGAAACUUGGAUUAAUACCCCGUAAUAUAUAGAAGUGGCAUCACUUUUAUAUUAUAGCUCCGGCGCUUAAAGAUGGCUGUGCGGCUGAUUAGGUAGUUGGCGGGGUAACGGCCCACCAAGCCUGCGAUCAGUAACUGGUGUGAGAGCACGACCAGUCACACGGGCACUGAGACACGGGCCCGACUCCUACGGGAGGCAGCAGUAAGGAAUAUUGGGCAAUGGACGCAAGUCUGACCCAGCCAUGCCGCGUGAAGGAUGUAGGUCCUCUGGAUUGUAAACUUCUUUUAUCUGGGACGAAAAAAGGUCUUUCUAGAUCGUCUGACGGUACCAGAGGAAUAAGCACCGGCUAACUCCGUGCCAGCCGCCGCCGUAAAAC
rnacentral:rRNA from 1 species